rnacentral:lncRNA from 1 species
CAAUGGGGAUAAGUGGCUUAAUGGCAAUGGAUUGGAUUCAUGCCUUUUGAAGCAUUAUUAGCAUUAUGAUAGGUGCUUGCUCAUCCUAGAGUAAAGCUUAUUAUGGUUGAGCUCAAUUGAUUUGCAUACCAUCUCCAUCAACAGUAUUGCAAAAUUUUGCCUCUGAAAUUUACAAUAGUUUUGUGCUUCUAUUUUCUCUGAUUAUAUAUGAUUCUGAUCUUUUGUGAUUUUACCAUUUGAAAUGAUAAACUUUUGAGAUCUAUGUAAAGGGUGAAAGAAUUUUGUUCUUUAAACUUGGUUGUAAUCACAUUUCUCUGUGGUAUAUCUGCUGUUUUGUGCCCUAGCAUUCAGGUAAUUGUCUUUGGUUGGAGUAGCUGUAAUGCAUUAAUGGAAUUGGUGGGUGCUUGCUGAUGCUUUGGGUUCUGCUUCAAGUUGAUCCAUGAUCUAGCAGUUUGUCUUUGACCAGUUUGAUGUGGAUUAGAAGUGAUCUGUUGAUCAACAAUGUGUUGCAUUCAAAUUAAUUGGGUAUCCAAAAAAAAAAUUGGAACAAUGAAUGGUUUAAGGUCUUUUAUCCUGCUAAGCAUUUAAUUUGUGGACCAUUCUAGGACUGAAUGCGUAAUAGGUGGUAUUGAUGAUAUAGAUGAUAUUUGGUUCUUCAUUUCUAUAUGAUAUUGCUGAACCUCUUGCACUGUAGUAUAUGGUCUGUCCAACAUGUUUCAUUAAAAUGAUUUUACUUAGUGUAACAAUUCAUUCCUCACUAGAAUAUAGUUUUGUUCUUGCAGAUAUUUGGUGGAAGAUUGAUUUUUGUGGAAACUGCAAAAUCCAGAUCAAAGGAGGAUAUGCCACAGGUGACUUAAUUUUUGAAUUUCAUACUAUGUGCUUGCAGCUCCUCAUUUCAUGAAGAUCAGACAUGGAGCCUUACCUGUGACAUCCAAGCCAUCUUUGUCAUUGUGCC